rnacentral:lncRNA from 1 species
ACCACAAAAAUUUGCAUUGGUUAUCCGUGUAUAUUUUGGUCUACAUUUGAUGAACGGUGUAGGUUAUCAACUUCGAUGGUUCACCGUGACUUAGGCAUAGGGUAUGCCGUGGGGGCAGUCAAGACAUAACCAUCAUCUUUAGUUAAGUGCUAUCAUUAUCUUCAAAUUAAUCUGUUGAAUCAAUGUUGUUUGCUUAAACCUUGCAAGUACAACAAGAAGAUAAAAAGAAAAUGUAGAAUUUGAAAAAGACGAGGAUGCUCUAAAAUGAUGCACUAGAAGUCCAGCAUGAGUAACUCGACUUCUAUUAUUAAACUUCUCAAAAAUAGGAUCAAGGUUUUAGAUCUUGGCGGGACAAGGGGCAUCCCAGCCCUAUUGUUCCCUUCUUAUGAUAAAAUGGAACUGAGAUAGGGGUGGGACUCCAUAACACAUCUACACAGGGAAAGAAGAAGAAAAAGGAAAGAAAGAAAGGCAGCCAGAAGAAAAGAAAGUAAGAAGGAAGAAGGGAAGGAAAGAAGAAGAAAAAGGAAGGGAGAAGAAAAAAAAGUAAGAAGGAAGAAGGGAAGGAAAGAGGAAGACAAAGGAAAGGAAGGAAGAAGAAAUUGAAAGAAAAGAAGGAAGAAAUAAAAGAAGAGAAAAAACAAAGAGAAAAAAAGGAAAGUAGGGUAGAGAGAAGAAGGGCACCUAUUGGGACACUCGACCAAGACACCUACCGGGAUGGGAUGGGACAGGACAACGGUGCAUCCCAUUCUGUAGAGAAACUGGGACUCUUGUCCCACAAGAUUUAAAACCUUGGGUAGGACAUCUUGUGUACGAAUGUAUAACAUAUAAAUUUUGGUAUAAAAGUGUAUAACCUAUAGAAAAACUUUAGGACUAAUAAAUUGUAGGUAAGACUCAAGCCUUUUAGGGUUCAGCCUACCUGUCUUAAAAAAACCUAGAGAUAGUACAGUUUAAUAAAGUAAGUGCUGAAUCUGAUGAGCAUUUGUCCACAAAACCUGAUGAACAUGACUGUUAAAUGAAUUUUCUACAUAACCUGAUGCCAUGUACUAUUGGUUGAGUUCUUCAACAAAUGUGCUUAAGCCAUUAAUAGCAUGAAACAAGUCGUAAUACAAUCCAUGGACUACUGGCUAAACAACUCUUGCAGCUUACAGUGAUUUCCUUUGAUGGCACAAUAAGUCAAUCUUUUUAAAAACCAUCUGUAAAUGUGUUGACACCUGCUUCUUCAAUUCACUUCACCUAAUCAGAUACAAGCAAAUCUUAGUCAAUGAAUAAAUUGAUAGUUAUGGAUGAUGGAGGGGGUUCAAAUCCUUCAUCUGAUUGGAAUAUUAACUCAGAUUGCAAGCUGCAAUAGUAAAGUAGCAAACUAGAACAAGUUGCAAGGCUAAGAGAAGCUGUUCAGUGUACUACUACAGAGAUUUUGACGAUAGAGCAUGAAACAUGACUCCAAGAUAUAGAGAAAACAUCGUAACUUUAAUAGCUUAGUACCCACCAACAGAAAACUUCCAUAUGACCUUAAGGUUGAGAGAGUUGAACCUAAAAUACUUUUAGGGAGUUCCUCCAAAUGUUGACAUUGUUAUUGAUUUUUUUAAACAAAACAUAUAAAGAAGCAUAUUGAAUUUAGAGGAAGCAUAAAGCUUCUUUUUGAGUAGUUUCCAAAGUGGAGAGGCAUCAAAAGAUUUACAUGGAUGAGAGUCAUGCACAAAGAUAUAUUUGAUUACUAUUUUUUCUUUCGUCACUGAUAAAGAACUUUUUUGCAGAAACAUAUGCAUAAAGAGGAGAAAGGCCAAAAAGGAAAAGAUUAUCAAAGACCAAGAAAGCAAAAGCAGAAAAUCUAAUGGUCGGUCGUUUUGACCGUGUUUCAAGAAUUCCAUUACCGUAUGGGGAUAGGAUGAAAACAGAUACAAGAAAAGAUUUGAAAAGAAACAGGCCAGAGAUUUCAAGAAUGGAGCAUAACUUACUGAACAUCCAAACGGACCACAUCCCCAUUAGUCUCCAUAUAUCUGGUUCAUUUGAUGGGAAUAUCAGAUUAAAUGAAAGGGCUCCACCAAAUAACAUUGAG